GGUUAAGAGGAGUGCUUAGCUUCGGCGAAGGUACGAAUUGAAGCCCCAGUAAACGGCGGCCGUAACUAUAACGGUCCUAAGGUAGCGAAAUUCCUUGUCGGGUAAGUUCCGACCCGCACGAAAGGCGAAACGAUCUGGGCACUGUCUCAACGAGAGACUCGGUGAAAUUAUAGUACCUGUGAAGAUGCAGGUUACCCGCGACAGGACGGAAAGACCCCGUGGAGCUUUACUGCAACCUGAUAUGGAAUGUUUGUA
rnacentral:rRNA from 1 species